rnacentral:rRNA from 1 species
UGGGCUUUAACUGACGCUGAGGCUCGAAAGUGUGGGGAGCAAACAGGAUUAGAUACCCUGGUAGUCCACACUGUAAACGAUGAUAGCUAGGUGUGGGGGGUCUGACCCCUUCCGUGCCGGAGUUAACGCAAUAAGCUAUCCACCUGGGGAGUACGACCGCAAGGUUGAAACUCAAAGGAAUUGACGGGGGCCCGCACAAGCAGUGGAGUAUGUGGUUUAAUUCGAAGCAACGCGAAGAACCUUACCAGGUCUUGACAUCCGAUGCAUAGUGCAGAGAUGCAUGAAGUCCUUCGGGACAUCGAGACAGGUGGUGCAUGGUUGUCGUCAGCUCGUGUCGUGAGAUGUUGGGUUAAGUCCCGCAACGAGCGCAACCCUCGCCAUUAGUUGCUACGCAAGAGCACUCUAAUGGGACCGCUACCGACAAGGUGGAGGAAGGUGGGGACGACGUCAAAUCAUCAUGCCCCUUAUGUGCUGGGCUACACACGUAAUACAAUGGCCAUCAACAGAGAGAAGCAAUACCGCGAGGUGGAGCAAAACUUCAAAAAUGGUCUCAGUUCGGACUGCAGGCUGCAACCCGCCUGCACGAAGUUGGAAUUGCUAGUAAUCGUGGAUCAGCAUGCCACGGUGAAUACGUUCCCGGGUCUUGUACACACCGCCCGUCACACCAUGGGAGCCGGUAACACCCGAAGUCAGUAGUCUAACCGCAAGGAGGACGCUGCCGAAGGUGGGAUUGGCGACUGGGGUGAAGUCGUAACAAGGUAGCCGUAUCGGAAGGUGCGGCUG